rnacentral:rRNA from 1 species
GACGAACGCUGGCGGCGUGCUUAACACAUGCAAGUCGAACGGAAAGGCCCUGCUUUUGUGGGGUGCUCGAGUGGCGAACGGGUGAGUAACACGUGAGUAACCUGCCCUUGACUUUGGGAUAACUUCAGGAAACUGGGGCUAAUACCGGAUAGGAGCUCUUGCUCCAUGGUGGGGGUUGGAAAGUUUCGGCGGUUGGGGAUGGACUAGCGGCUUAUCAGCUGGUUGGUGGGGUAGUGGCUUACCAGGGCUUUGACGGGUAGCCGGCCUGGGAGGCUGACCGGCCACAUUGCGACUGAGCUACGGCCCAGACUCCUACGGGAGGCAGCAGUGGAGAAUAUUGCACAAUGGGCGGAAGCCUGAUGCAGCAACGCCGCGUGCGGGAUGACGGCCUUCGGGUUGUAAACCGCUUUCGCCUGUGACGAAGCGUGAGUGACGGUAAUGGGUAAAGAAGCACCGGCUAACUACGUG